rnacentral:rRNA from 1 species
UUAGUCUCAUGAUCCCGCACGGAUACCCGCCUGAGAGGGCGACCGGCCACACUGGGACUGAACACGGCCAUGGAUCCGGAGGCAGCAGUGGGGAAUAUUGCACAUGGGGAAAGAAGGAUGCAGCGACGCCGCGUGAGGGAUGACGGCCUUCGGGUUGUAAACCUCAUUCAGCAGGGAAGAAGCGAAUUUGACGGUACCUGCACAAGAAGCGCCGGCUAACUACGUGCCGGCGGGGGCGGUAAUAAAAUGACGCAAGCGUUCACCGAAAUAUGGGGUGAAAGG